ensembl:lncRNA
UAUUACACCCAUGAACUCCCAGUUUGGGCAGGAUGCCGACCUCUUCCUUUUACCCAGAGGAGAUGCUGCCGAAUGGCUGCCUUUACCAACCCAGUUGUUCCUGCUGGUGGUUUGGGACUGGUGCAGCAGAGCCGGGCACCAACUGCAGCAGUGCCACCUCCUCCAUGUGCUGCAUGCUUAUGUGUGGGAGGUGUACGGAUCUCUUCUUCAGGUCCUAAGGGAAUUCUUUCAGUGAUCUCCUCUGGUUUUUUCCUCUUUCAGGGGUAUCUGGAGAAACCCUGUGUUUCCAGAUAAGGACGUGCUGGAUUUACAGUUGUCUACCACUGUUAAUGCAUCCUCGUCUGCGUGGUCGUGUGAAGGUAGGAUCCGCAGCAACCACAUCACCUGCUGUUCUCCUUUCCAUCCUCCACUCUUGGUUUCCAUGCUGCUCCAGGAUGUUCUUCCCACCCUGCGUUUUUGCAGUCAUUUAACUAAGCCUUUUUCAUCCAGAGGGGGAAAAUGGAGGCAGCUCUGCAGUUUACCAGGCAUCCCGCUGGGGAGCAGAGCCUUACGAGAGCAGCAUGGCAGUGGCUCUGGAUGGCAGCGGGUUUGGGGUUGGGAUUGGAGAACAGCAUCUCCUGGCCACCCUUCCUGCAAGGGGAAUGCAGAGCUGCUCACGUCCAGCAGGACGCGAGAAAAGGACAAGCUGUGUGCACAACGUGGUGAAGAUCAGUGGGUGGUUUUACCCAAAGAGGGCAGUGCCGUGCCACGAUCCUCCCCACUUCGUCUCUGUAAGGCGUGGAGGGCUCUGCAGAGCCGGGUGGAAACAGCCAACAUCGAGGAUUUCUUGAGGGGAAGAUCACGGCGUGAUGAGGCAGUUGUUUUUCGGAGGUGUAGCAAUUACUUCAAAGCAAAACAAAACCAAAGCAGAAAGAAUGACAGCAGAAAACCUUGCAAGUAUCUGUCACGCGAAUGCCUCUUCUGUCUCCUGACAAACUGCUUUUCUCACCAGCUUAGCCAAAGGUACACAGCCGUAGCACUGCCUGACUUAAAGCACUGCUCCUGCCUGUAUUCCUGCCCUCACUCACUGCAAGGACAGCUGUGAGCUCUCCUCCCUUCUGGACGGCAUCCCCCUUAGCUCCCCCGGGGCUGUUGGUCCCCAUUUCUGUCUCUAGCAUCCUUCCCAUCUCCCCACCCCAGGACUGCUUCUGCAGGGAGAUGCUGCUGUUGGAAAUUAGCCUUACCGUGGGACAAAGUGGGGGCUGGGUGGCUAUUUACCAGUUGGCGUGCUGCUGUCAGAAGUGGGGACUGGGCCCCUUCCUCUAUAGGCAGGAGAAGGGGUCCCACAGGCACUGCUGGGCGCUGUGAGUUGCAUGCUUGCCCUUUUGGGGUAUGUGGGACCAGGGAGGCUUUGCUGUCUGUGGGAGGAAAGACUUCAAAAUGAGCCAACGUUGCCAUUGCCAGAGAAACAGCUCUUGCCAUGCUGGGCAAUUGGCUGAAAGAGGUGAAUAGGGCUUUCCUGUAGGGGUUCAAAGCUCUAGCUCUGGUUAGAUAUAUUCACGUGGGCUCUUUCCCUUUCGAAGAAGGCAGAUGAAAAGGGCUCUGACUCCUUUAAAUAGGUCUGCGCUUCCUCCACCAGCCAGGAGCUCUGUUAGGACUGCACUGCUCCUUUCCACCCAGCAAGGACAGCUGCCAGCUUAACUCUUAGCCCUCACGUUAGCAGCAGAGGGGCUGAAAUGAAGAGUGUUUUCCCUCGGCAGCAGUCAAGAGGAAGAUGUUUGCUGCUGCUUGCUGCUUUGUAUUUAUUCUGCUAGCUGAAGCAUAGAAGCACGCGUGGGUACGAGGUACAGCUGGUGCUUGGAAGGCUCUGGGUUGCUGGAGGGGCACGGAGGGUCCUGGGAGCAUCGCCUCUGAGCAGGCUCCAGCUGGCUCUGUGCAUGGUGCCUGCGUGUCGGUGCUUACCCCACACCUCCUGCUGCCUUCCGUGGCUUUCGGGCACUGAUGUGAGCAAGUGCUGCUGCCAGCUCGGAGCUGCUGCUCUGGCUUAACGUGGGAAGGCAGGAGCAUCUGUCCCCCACUGCUUUCCUAUUAGCGGGCUGCUAUAAGGCAAAAAGCCAUCUGCCUGCAGAGGUUGGGGUUGGUGGUAUUUGCUAACCCAGGAAAAUGCUGCUCCAGGAAGGCAGUCAGGCAUGAAGGAUGAGAGAUCCUCUUCCUCGGAGUUCACUGAAAUAGGACUUUCCUGCAGGUUGCUUUCCCGUUGACCAGAGGGAGACCCAUGGCUCAUCCGUGCACCCUUCUUAGAGCUGCUGAAGAGACUCAGAAUGGGGUGAUGGCCCCAUGCUCCUUCCUGGGGUCUCCUCUUCCUCAAGGUUAGUGUUACCAGCUGGGGCCUUGUUUUCCCAGGCAGCCUCUAGUGCCAGGUUCAUGCUGAUCUUGCUAAGCACUUUUACUCCUGAGGACAUCUGCGCAAUACAGCUGGUUCAGAAAGGUUUCCCCAAAGCGCAGUCAUUUAUUGUGAGCCAGCAUUUGCAGAGUAAUCCCAUACAAGUCAUUAGCUGGGUCGCUGGAGCUUGCCCUGGGGUCUGUCCAGGGAAUCCCAGAGCUGCCUGGGGCUGAGCGGUACCUGCAGCUCCCAGACCUGCUCAGCUCUGUGCUGAGAGCCUCACCUGGCAGCUUUGGUGUGCUUCUUCCCAUGAUUUUAUCUAAUUUCUGCUGUCUCUCCUUUGUCAGAGCCAGCGCAGGCCAGCUAAUGUCCAGGUGCAAAGGGUGCACCGCCCUCUGCCAUGCCAUCUACCUGGUGAUAUCAAGGCCAAGAGCGUCACGUUCUGGAUGUUCAUAAAUUAUAAGGGAAACAGCUUUCUUCCUUCACCCCUUGAACUUUUAUUCAUUCCUCCAUUGUGUUAAUGAAUACGUGGUCUAAGCUGUAUGUCAGUCCCUGUUCUUGCUUGCUGUAGAUGAGGCUGGCUUGUCAGCGCUUGGCCUCCUUUUGCCAUCAGCUCGAGCGGAGCUGUUACACGUUAGUUCUCCAGCAGCAUUUUGAUUACCUCUCAUAACACAACGCUGUCAAUGCAGACUGACCAAUACAGCAAUUCAAUGAGCGUGUUGCUCUUGACAAGCCUUAUUUGCCCUGGAUAAGUCAGGUGGAAUAUCUUCAGCUGCAGGUAAUAGGCAGUAACAUCCUCUCUGUGUGUUAGCUGAAGGUUUCCUGGUCUCUGUUUCACCCGAAGGGGCUUCCUUGUCUCCACUGCAGCAGGAUGCAGAGCCUGAACUAACUCUGAGCAAGGAACUGUGGAGUCCAGAAACAGCAGCUCUGCUUUAAGUGAGGCUCUUGCCCUGGGUAAUCAUCCCAUCCUGAGAAGCACAACGUACUAUCUCAGGCUUCUUCCUAAGGUGUGUUGACCAACGUGCAUUUGAUGUCUUGGAGCUGCCCUGGCAGUGUGUGGGCCAUCAUCCUCAGUGGGGAACCAGAGACAGCAAUCACUGCUAAGUGCCAGAUGAUAGCGUGUUUUGUCGGCUGCUUUGAUGCAUUAUGUUUUCCACCAUCUGUAUUUGCACUGCGUUGGAGGCUUGCUUGCCCUGCAAGGGCUGGGCUGCGAUCCCUCCAGCACUGUGAGCAUCCAGGUGUGGUGUUUAGAGGGUGGAGAGGAGACGUCAAGCUUUCUUGCUUUGCUAUGCCCAUGCCUUGUCUCCCCACACUUGCUCACUUCUCCAAAUACUGCUGCUCUCAAUGAACUCUUAGCAGCUGUCAGUCCCCGUUCCUGAAGCGAUGUGCAGUUCUGAGCUCCCUACAGGUUGGGAUGGUCCUUGUGCUGGCUGCUCCCUGCUCCAAUCCUUGGCCUGUUGUGCUUUUUUAGCCUGCAAAGCCUCCUUCCCAAAUGCUUCUGAAGAAGCCAAAGCGGGAUCUGCUCUGGCAGAAAGAAGCCUGCAGACCUGGAUCCUCUCCCCUCAGCCACUGCAGCCCUGGAUGGUGUUUGUUGGCAGGCAUCGCUCCCAGUGCUCCUGCUCACCUCGUGCUCUCCCAGGAGAAACAAGCUUCACAUGAUGGCUUUGGAAAUAAGUCAGGGCAUGUGUCUUGGGCAGAACGAAAGGAGCUGGAAACCUGAGCUUUGUUUGCAUGCACGUUGUUCCUGGCUUUGGCAGGGAUGAGCCCUGACUCCGUGCAGCUGCCGUGACUGGUUUACUGGGCACAGCAUGAGGUCCCUCCUCCUUGAAGGACAUUCACUGUAUUUUGAAGCCACGACCGCCGGCAGAGCAAGCGAAGGAUGAAAAAUCAGAGUAACGGCCAAGGAGACGACAUCCACUUGACUUCUCUUGCCCGUGGUGUGAGCAAUUAAUCCAGCUAAGGCAUGGCAGUGGAGUGAGGCCAGGAACAGCAGGAGGACGGCGCUGCACCGGCAGCAGCAAGCGGGACCGGACAUCUUCCUCUGCCACGCUGCCCCGACCUUUGUGGUGAGGUUGUGCAUGGAGAAAUGUGCUGAACCACCCCGUUGCCAUGGAAACCAAGGCCGAGAGGGGACCAGCCUGCUCCUGCUAAUUGCUGUGGCUUUGUGACCCCAUCCGUCCAUCCUGCUGCCUCCCGUGAGCCUGUCCGAAUGCACAGCGCUGGCCCCAUCCUGCAUCAUCCUGCCCUUUGGCUCCCAGCCCCAAUGCUGUGAGCAGGAUCUGGGGUUCCUCUUUCUCUCCUUUGUGUUGUCACAACCUGCACAAGAUCAGUUAAAAUCCGUGGCUUGAGCAUCCCUGCAGCCCAUCACCCCGUGCGUGCACAUCUGCCUGCAUGCUUGUUGCAGGAGCACGGUGGCGGUGCAGUGAUGCACCUCCCUUGCCCUGCAUCCCGGGCUGCCCUGCCUUUAUCUCGUCCAAUUAAAUAACUGCAGAUAGUGGGCUUAAUAAGGCCCUGCUAUGAAAGAUUACUGACGAUUUCUUUCCCAACGUGCGGUGAAUUAGGAGGCAGUGAGCAGGGAAAGGACUGCUGCUAAUUACAGUCCCCCAUGUCCCCUCUGCUGCCACCACUGCUGCUGGGCCCCUCGCUGCUCCCUGCACCUGAUUGCAUUUUGCUGCUGGUUGUGGCCAAUUUGCAGCUCUCAGCUGCUGCUGCUUCUCCCUUCCCCCCACGCCCCCUGCUCCUCUUCGAGUUUAUUAAUGAAAACCUUAUCUGUCGGUGCAGAUAAUGCCAGAAAUAAUUAGUGCACACGGAGGGCUGGCAGGCUGCUCUCUGCUCCCACCACCCACACCCUCUCCUCUCACUGUUUACAGUUUCCUGUGCUGCUUGGGGCUGCUUUUUGGGUUUUUAAGCCUCCUUGCUCUGUACAGAUUUAUUUGCUUCUCUUUCUCUCCAAGUUUUCCUUGCUCAGAAAGAGACAGACAGACCUGAGGCACAGAUGCAUCCUAAAGAGCUUGACCUUAAACACCUGGGCUGCAGGUGCCCUGACCUUAUGGCUGCUGGAAAUGGGGAGCUGCCCCCCAAUGCCCAAGAGCAGGGAUUGCAUUUGCUCCUGGCAUGCUCUGGUCAGGUCAUGGCCCUGCUCCUGCUGCGCCAGCGCCGUCCUCGCUUUGCUCGUGCUCCCUUUCAUUACACUUAGCAUCAUUGUCUCUUGGCUUAAAUCUUUCAGCCUGAUAAAGGACGACAGCGCUGCUCGAGUGCCUGGGAUGGCAUAAAUAAUUCCAGUGCUGAGAGAGAUUUACAGCUAUAUAAAUGUCAGGAGUGAGCCCAGUUUGUAUUAAUGGCCUUAUUAGUUACAUUGCUGUAAAAUACAGAUCCUCCAAUUGUUAAGCGGCCGUGGUUUUGGUCCACAGCAUUAAUCCAAUAAAUUUGGGCUUCUCAAUACGAAUCUUCGUCUCUGAACCCCACUGGAAAAUCCUUCAUGGUAUGUCAGAGAGCUUUAAAUGGCUGUGGCUGAGACAGAGGUGGGAAUAACAGAGCUGGUGGGAGCGCAGGUGUAAGGCAGUGCAGCAGCCCAUCCCCACCCAAGGGCAUGGGAAGUGUGGAGGUCCCUUGGCCGUGAGGAGCUGUGGGGUGGGAUUGGUGCUUUUGUCACCAGCUUGGAAACCACAGCCCAACCCAAGAGCUCCCAUGGCUCUGAGAUGUCCGUCCGUCCUUCCCACCCUGCUGCCAUCCCUCCCUGUUCCCUGGUGCAUCUCGUAUGAGGACGUUCUGCAACUCUGCAAACUUUCCACCAGCGACCUGCCAAGUGCAUGGGGAGGGAGAGGGGAAAGCACCACGAUAAUUGAAAAUAAAUGGUGCAUUAUAUGAAAUAAAUGUUCUGGUGCAGCCAGCUUGCUGUCGCUGAUUAUUUAUUUGUUACUUGCAAAUGCUUUGAGGAGGUGCCUGGGGAAGAGGGGUUUUGGAGAUAAAGUGGUGAUGCCUUCGUGCAGAGGGAGCUAUGGGGCAUGGGAGGCUGUGUGCGUCCUGCAGCAACGGCAGGGGGACAGCCACAGCCAUUGGAGCAGAGAUGUCAUUGCCAUGAGGAGAGUCCAGAGUGCGAACCCAAUGUUUCAGGGCAUGUUGGAGGUCUUCUAGGCUCUGUGUGCACCUGUAAGGGGCGGGGGUCUGCAGGAAUGGGACCAACGUGAGCAGGGAGCCUCCGGAGCUCUGCUCAGCCCGAGGUUGGGUUGGUUGCUGUGUCUCCCUGGUGGGAAUUAAGUCCUAUUUGGUAGGGGAGGAGGCUGUUUUCCCAGGAGGGGUUGGAUUUGACCAGGAACACGGACCAUUUUGCUGUGUUGGCUCCUCAGCCAUGUCAUGCUUCUUAUGCCUUGAUAAGACUUAUCCUGGAUUACUUUUCAGCUGCUAAUUAAUCUUGAGAGUGUUGUAAAAGCUUUGAACCUCUGCUUGAAGACUGAGUGGGUGAUUUCUGGCCUUAUCAGACAAGGGGGGGACGUGGAGGUGGGAUCCCAGUUGUGCACUGAGUUGCCCUCCCUGGGCAGCCGAGACCUCCACUCUGCAGAGAGCUGGGAUCUCUGUAUUGCUGACUGGGGAAAGGCUGAGGAUGAACCCCCCCCCA